rnacentral:pre_miRNA from 1 species
CUUGUACUCCCUCCGUCCGGAAAUAUUUGUCAUUGAAAUGGAUGUAUCUAGAUGUAUUUUAGUUCUAGACACAUCCAUUUUGAUGACAAGUAAUUCUGGAUGGAGGGAGUACUUC